rnacentral:rRNA from 2 species
ACUUAAAUUGAAGAGUUUGAUCAUGGCUCAGAUUGAACGCUGGCGGCAGGCCUAACACAUGCAAGUCGAGCGGCAGCGGAAAGUAGCUUGC